AUGUCACAAGCAGUUAAAAUAGCAGCAUUUAGGGAAAUAGCUUUUUAUCAGCACAAACAUAUAAAGGACAUUGGCAGAAAAUCAGUGGAUCAUCUGUUGCUGAUUCUGUAAGUGCAGAACUCAUCCGUCUGACAGAGCAGACAUGCAGUGGAAUCUGUUGCUCAUUUGGUUAGGUCAGUGUUGCUUCAUUGACUGUCAACUCUAUCAGUUUCACUACAUUAAUGAAGAAAAGACCUGGACUGAAGCUCAGCAUUACUGCAGAGAGAAUCACACUGACCUGGCCACAGUGACUAACAUGAAGGACAUGGAGAGACUCAUCAACAUCUCAGCUGGAGAUCAGAGGGAAGCUUGGAUUGGUCUGUAUGAUCAAACAAACGCACAGAGAUCAUGGCACUGGUCUCUGCCUGGAGUGGAGUUCAAUAAAAGUGAGACAAACUGGGAAACAAGUACAAAUGAACCAAAUAAUCUCGAAUCUGAAGGCCAAAACUGUGUGAUUAUAUGGAAAGAUUCCCCUCAUUUUCUCAAGUGGGGAGAUUUAUCCUGUAAUGAAAAGCAUAAUUUUAUCUGCUAUAGUG